CAGACGCCGUCACCCCGGAACUUCCUGCGCUGCCCAACCAUGGUCAACCCUACCGUGUUCUUUGACAUCGCCAUCGACGGCGAGCCCUUGGGCCGCGUCUCCUUCGAGCUGUUUGCAGACAAAGUUCCAAAGACAGCAGAAAACUUUCGUGCUCUGAGCACUGGGGAGAAAGGCUUUGGUUAUAAAGGUUCCUGCUUUCACAGAAUAAUUCCGGGAUUUAUGUGCCAGGGUGGUGACUUCACACGCCAUAAUGGCACUGGUGGCAAGUCCAUCUAUGGGGAGAAAUUUGAUGAUGAGAAUUUCCUCCUGAAGCAUACGGGUCCUGGCAUCUUUUCCAUGGUAAAUGCUGGCCCCAACACAAACGGUUCCCAGUUUUUCAUCUGCACUGCCAAGACUGAGUGCUUGGAUGGCAAGCAUGUGGUCUUUGGCAAGGUGAAAGAGGGCAUGAAUAUUGUGGAAGCCAUGGAGCGCUUUGGGUCCAGGAAUGGCAAGACCAGCAAGAAGAUCACCAUUGCUGACUGUGGACAAAUCUAAUAAUAAAUGUGACUUGUGUUUUAUCUUAACCACCAGACCAUUCCUUCUGUAGCUCAGGAGAGCACCCCUUCAUCCCCAUCUGCUCGAAAUAUCCUAUAAUCUUUGUGCUCUCGUUGCACUUCUUUGGGUUCCAUAUUUUCCUUAUUCCCCUCCAAGUUUAGCUGAAUUGCAAAGUUAAGUUUAGGGUUAUGAAAUAAAAACUAAACAAC